GACGAACGCUGGCGGCGUGCCUAAUACAUGCAAGUAGAACGCUGAAGGAGGAGCUUGCUUCUCUGGAUGAGUUGCGAACGGGUGAGUAACGCGUAGGUAACCUGCCUGGUAGCGGGGGAUAACUAUUGGAAACGAUAGCUAAUACCGCAUAAGAGUAGAUGUUGCAUGACAUUUGCUUAAAAGGUGCAAUUGCAUCACUACCAGAUGGACCUGCGUUGUAUUAGCUAGUUGGUGAGGUAACGGCUCACCAAGGCGACGAUACAUAGCCGACCUGAGAGGGUGAGCGGCCACACUGGGACGGAGACACGGCCCAGACUCCUACGGGAGGCAGCAGUAGGGAAUCUUCGGAAAUGGACGGAAGUCUGACCGAGCAACGCCGCGUGAGUGAAGAAGGUUUUCGGAUCGUAAAGCUCUGUUGUAAGAGAAGAACGAGGGUGAGAGUGGAAAGUUCACACUGUGACGGUAUCUUACCAGAAAGGGACGGCUAACUACGUG
rnacentral:rRNA from 1 species